rnacentral:rRNA from 1 species
GAUGAACGCUAGCGGCAGGCUUAAUACAUGCAAGUCGAGGGGCAGCAUGAGUGUAGCAAUACAUUUGAUGGCGACCGGCAAACGGGUGCGGAACACGUACUGAACCUUCCUUUAAGUGGGGAAUAGCCCAGGGAAACUUGGAUUAAUACCCCGUAACAUAAUGAAGUGGCAUCACUUUAUUAUUAUAGCUCCGGCGCUUAAAGAUGGCAGUGCGGCUGAUUAGGUCGUUGGCGGGGUAACGGCCCACCAAGCCUGCGAUCAGUAACUGGUGUGAGAGCACGACCAGUCACACGGGCACUGAGACACGGGCCCGACUCCUACGGGAGGCAGCAGUAAGGAAUAUUGGGCAAUGGACGCAAGUCUGACCCAGCCAUGCCGCGUGGAGGAUGAAGGUCCUCUGGAUUGUAAACUUCUUUUAUAUGGGACGAAAAAGGGUCUUUCUAGAUCAACUGACGGUACCAUAUGAAUAAGCACCGGCUAACUACGUGCCAGCCGCCGCCGUAACAC